rnacentral:rRNA from 1 species
GAAUCCAUAGGUUAAUGAGGCGAACCGGGGGAACUGAAACAUCUAAGUACCCCGAGGAAAAGAAAUCAACCGAGAUUCCCCCAGUAGCGGCGAGCGAACGGGGAGCAGCCCAGAGCCUGAAUCAGUGUGUGUGUUAGUGGAAGCGUCUGGAAAGGCGCGCGAUACAGGGUGACAGCCCCGUACACAAAAAUGCACAUGCUGUGAGCUCGAUGAGUAGGGCGGGACACGUGGUAUCCUGUCUGAAUAUGGGGGGACCAUCCUCCAAGGCUAAAUACUCCUGACUGACCGAUAGUGAACCAGUACCGUGAGGGAAAGGCGAAAAGAACCCCGGCGAGGGGAGUGAAAAAGAACCUGAAACCGUGUACGUACAAGCAGUGGGAGCACGCUUAGGCGUGUGACUGCGUACCUUUUGUAUAAUGGGUCAGCGACUUAUAUUCUGUAGCAAGGUUAACCGAAUAGGGGAGCCGAAGGGAAACCGAGUCUUAACUGGGCGUUAAGUUGCAGGGUAUAGACCCGAAACCCGGUGAUCUAGCCAUGGGCAGGUUGAAGGUUGGGUAACACUAACUGGAGGACCGAACCGACUAAUGUUGAAAAAUUAGCGGAUGACUUGUGGCUGGGGGUGAAAGGCCAAUCAAACCGGGAGAUAGCUGGUUCUCCCCGAAAGCUAUUUAGGUAGCGCCUCGUGAAUUCAUCUCCGGGGGUAGAGCACUGUUUCGGCAAGGGGGUCAUCCCGACUUACCAACCCGAUGCAAACUGCGAAUACCGGAGAAUGUUAUCACGGGAGACACACGGCGGGUGCUAACGUCCGUCGUGAAGAGGGAAACAACCCAGACCGCCAGCUAAGGUCCCAAAGUCAUGGUUAAGUGGGAAACGAUGUGGGAAGGCCCAGACAGCCAGGAUGUUGGCUUAGAAGCAGCCAUCAUUUAAAGAAAGCGUAAUAGCUCACUGGUCGAGUCGGCCUGCGCGGAAGAUGUAACGGGGCUAAACCAUGCACCGAAGCUGCGGCAGCGAC